UACGUAGGUGGCAAGCGUUGUCCGGAAUUAUUGGGCGUAAAGCGCGCGCAGGCGGUCCUUUAAGUCUGAUGUGAAAGCCCACGGCUCAACCGUGGAGGGUCAUUGGAAACUGGGGGACUUGAGUGCAGGAGAGAAGAGUGGAAUUCCACGUGUAGCGGUGAAAUGCGUAGAGAUCAUGAGGAAGACCAGUGGCGAAGGCGGGUCUCUGGACAGUUCCUGACACUGAGACACGAAGGCCAGGGGAGCAAACGGG
rnacentral:rRNA from 1 species